UACGGGGGGGGCAAGCGUUGUUCGGAAUUACUGGGCGUAAAGGGCUCGUAGGCGGCCAACUAAGUCCGACGUGAAAUCCCCAGGCUUAACCUGGGAACUGCGUCGGAUACUGGAUGGCUUGAAUCCGGGAGAGGGAUGCAGAAUUCCAGGUGUAGCGGUGAAAUGCGUAGAUAUCUGGAGGAAUACCGGUGGCGAAGGCGGCAUCCUGGACCGGCAUUGACGCUGAGGAGCGAAAGCCAGGGGAGCAAACAGG
rnacentral:rRNA from 1 species